rnacentral:rRNA from 1 species
UACGUAGGGUGCAAGCGUUGUCCGGAAUUAUUGGGCGUAAAGAGCUCGUAGGCGGUUUGUCGCGUCGGAUGUGAAAAUCCAGGGCUUAACCCUGGACCUGCAUUCGAUACGGGCAGACUAGAGUUCGGUAGGGGAGACUGGAAUUCCUGGUGUAGCGGUGAAAUGCGCAGAUAUCAGGAGGAACACCGGUGGCGAAGGCGGGUCUCUGGGCCGAUACUGACGCUGAGGAGCGAAAGCGUGGGGAGCGAACAGG